UUUGCUUCUUCCACUAUCGAUUUUAAUUCUAUUACAUGAUCGGUAGAUGUUUCUUCUCGUCUCUGUCUUCGAUGAUCUUUGGCAACCUUCGAGCGGAUUUUUGGUGAUCUUCUCAAAGUUUUGUGGCAAAUAUGCUUCCCGGCGAUGAUCGGGUCUUGUUGGUUCGGGUUUCCCUCUUAUGCGUUGUGCAGUAAUGUUGUUGACGUCACUUCGGUUUGUCUCCAUUCAACAGACCAUGUCAGACACAGGACGAUGCAGCGAGCGCCAGUUUCUCCCACCGAUGGCGACCGCCGCGGCUGUUCGAUCGCAUCAGACGGAUCGAUCGCCCCUCUCUCUCCCGUGUCUCAUACCGGUGUUCAAUCGCGUCACCCAAUGAGGCCAGCCCGGCGAUCGCGACUCCUCCCCCAGCCUCCUGCUCCAUCUCCAUCCCUCAUCCUCUGUUUCAUUCGACGAGGUCGAGUCCGCCUCCAUGCCACCAUGAUCCGUCUCUACCUUUCCCGCUUCACCCUCCUGUGCCAGGCGAUAGCCGCCCGACAGCAUCUCGGUCCGGUCCAGCGGGUACCUGAAGCUGGACUCCGUUCGGUUUCGAACCGCAACAAGCGGUUUCCCGUCUUUAGCCCCGUCAUGGUCGGUUCAGUGAGUAUACCAUUCCUCGUCUGGCUAAAUUUUAUUGUCUAUUGCAUUUGUACAAUAUAAUGAUAUGAUCUUACAAAUAAUUAAUAUUCUUAGUCUUUUUUUCAAAGCCGUUAAUAAAUUACAUUAAAAUAGUUUAGGUGCAUUAACUUAACUAUCCAGAAGAUUUACCUGUUUAGGUUUUGUGCAUUAGUUUACAGAAUGGCCAUAUUUUAUUGCUGUAGGAGCACCAAUAUCAACGUUGUCGACUGAUCAUAUCAUACAUAUUUUAAUGCUGUCCGUCCGAUCUGAAUCAUUUGAUGGUUCACGUGUCCAUAUUUGCUCUGCCAAGUUUGGCGAGUUACGCAAAUAAUUGAAAGUUACGUGAAUAAUGGGCCUUUGGCAGUAUCAUUAGGCCUUAGCCUAAUCGUACGUCCUGAUUUGAUAGCAUAGUUAUGGGCCAAGCCCAACUAUACGUCACGAAUACGAAAGCCAUUAAACAAACGUACGGUGUGCAUAUGCUUUACUUUGAGGACAAAGCAUCAGAAACCACGUGUCCACCUGCACAUCACCCAAAUCCAUCUCGUAAAGUGCAGUGGCAUCCGAAAACCAGGGGCGUCAUGGGUGGUCUUCCAAAACCAGGCGUCGCUUCGAAGGAGUCCGCUACCUUCUUAUAUUUGUUCGCCGGUGCAGCCGUAGUGGCCAGCGCAAGCAAUAGGCUGCAAGGCGACAAGGAACGGGAGAUGAUCGUGUCUCUGGAAGCUCUUGGUAUGGGGCUGGGUUGGAAAACCCUACCGCCCCGCCAUGUUUGUCUUACAUGGAGUGAGGUCUUUUCCAAUGCCUCCCAUGCCAAUGGUUUCCAGGCACCCCUCCCUUUCCCCCUCUGAGUCUUUUGAGGAUUGGUGUGACAUGUUAUGGUAAAGAAGGCGCCGGGAGGAGGGAGAGGAAGCACAGGGAUUCCUACAAGCUGUGGGGAUGGGGGCAUCGGCAAGCCCAUACCUGCUCUGGCUGAGAGAUGCAGGUUGAUGGUGCUUGCCGAUCCCUCCCAUGCCGAUGGUUUUUAGGAGCUCCUUUCUCUCCCUUGCCCCUCUUGUAAUGCUCUUACGUUACGGAUGCGGCUUACAGUAAGAACAGCUGUUCUUAUUUCUCUUAGCUUUUCUUCUUUCAUAUUUUGAUUGUGUGUAGUAGUUUGUUGGUGGCUGCUCUGUUUCCGAACACAAGCAGGUUCUUGGCAGGUGGCUGUUUCUAUCUAUUGGUGUUGGAGUAUAAGUUGGGGAGGUACUUUGGUACUCGUUGCUGCCACAUAAAAUCUUAAGAUGCCUGUAAUUGAUGCAUCUUCUAUGAUGUGCCUGUCUCACAAGACUUAAGGAUACAAAGCCUAAGUGAUUCAUUGUAAGACUGAUAAUUUUUUGAGGCCAUGAAUGAUUGCUGUAUGAGUUUAUUUCAGGGAUAGUGCAGGCAAACAUAGGCGGGAAACGUGCGUGCUGUAGUUGCACAAAGACGAGUUACCAAGGAUGAACUGAUCACACCAUUGUCUCAAUAGAAAGAAACAAAAUCUCGGAUGUCACGAGUGGGAGUUCACUUUGAUGUGGAUGUGUGCAUAAACACAUAAGAAUUUUUUUGGACCCUCUUCAUUUUCUGGUCAAAUGGACAUUCUCUUUCUCUUCGUAGGCUUGACAUGGAAAUCUAGAGGGCAAUCGCUAUCUGAUGUUUUGGUAUUGACCUCAUACAUGUAUUCUGGCAUCACCUUAUAUUGUGGUGUAAAUGAGUUUGAGUGUCCUACCAAACAUCCACCUUGGCACGUAUCAUAUAAAUCAAAUAAUCUAUGCCGAGUGCGUUCGUCAUCUCCAACUUAAAGCCGCUCUAUCACAGUCAAACUUGCCCAGAAAAAACUCGAUUGAGAUCUUGUGGCCAGACGCUAAUACAUCUCUGGUGCUGCCAAUUUUCCCGGAAUAGGUAGCAGGUGAUAUGAUAUUUAACCAUACACACACUGGGAUAGCUGAAACAUCAUUGGUCUGCUUCAAAAAAGGAGAGAUCUUUACAGAGGCAUCCUCCUUUGAAGCACAGAAUGCACCAAGUGUAUUCCAAGUGGCAGUCAUCGAAUCAAACUCUUAUGGUUUGAGGCACUGCUGCUCUGUUUCAAUUAUAAGAAUGUCAAGGUGACCAAAACUUGUUCCUGAUCUCUGAUCAGUCAAGCUUCUCGAAUCAAAACUCAGCUUAUGUUAAUAAAAUGAGUCCAAUUACACAGAGCGACUCAACUUGUAAUUGGAUCUCAUAAUUUACUAUCAGUUCCUCGUUAAUAGAUCGUGUGGCAGUCUCUGUUCCUUGAAAAGAAAUGGAGCUAAUAAGUUAAUGUUAAUCAUCUCUUGUGUUUUAUACAUUAUUUGUGAUGUUCUGUGGCAUAUGAUAAAAGUUGCAAUUUUGUGCCUUAUUCAACGUACAAGAUAUUGUCAUAGCUACUACAUACAUACAUAUACAAAAGAGAGAGAGAGAGAGAGAGAGAGAGAGAGAGAGAGAGAGAGAGAGAGAGAGAUAUGCUACUUGUCAUCAAAAUAAUGAAAGAGAGAGAGAAAGACAACUUGGACAUGCCUUGUGAUGAAAGAAUGAAACCAGGUGCAUGUGGAAAUAAACACUUUCUUUAUUGAGGCAUCUAGCUAAUCUCUUCACGUGCAUAACAAAAACAAAAAAUCUAAUCAAUUACUUCCAUGAUCUUUCUUAUGUUCUUGCAUGUUGGAACAGAGCUAAGCUGGCACACAAGUAGAGAGAGAUGUUACUUCACUCGAGCCACAUGAGGGAGUCCCUUCACCAAACCCUGUGAUGAAUCAUUUAAGCUUGGAGUCAUCAAAAUGAUGUUUCCAUGGCAAGCGAUAAAGAAACAUGAUUUGGUGGAACAUUAACAGCUCUGUUUCUAGAAGCAAUUUUAUUAGCAAUUUCCGAUCUUGUGCACAGGCCAUGGAGGAAUAUAUACAGGUAAACUAGCCAUGGUUAGAGACAACCAGCACCAAUAAACUAAGCAAGAGAGCAAGGGGAUGGAGAGACCUUCCUUCACCAUGUUGCUGCUGCUGCUUCUGCUAAUUUUAGCUGCUUCUGUUCAUGGGAUCCCAGCAAGCCAUGCUAAUGGAGAUGAAAGAACAAGGGUUUUAGGUGGAAGAGUCGGAGACCCACCUCCUUCUCCUUUGGCCAGUCCUUCAAGGCGUUACUUCCCACCCCAUGCAGAAUCGCCAUGCUAAUGUGUUGCUCAGUAUAUGUCUCUGUUCAUGUGCUCCUACUGAAGUGCUAUGUGAGGUGUUGUGGACUUAUUAUUAUGAGGAAGAUGAAGGCUGUCAACUUGUGGGAUGCAGGAUUUAGUUUACAACUUUACAUAUACCUUUCAUUAGCAAGAUGAUCAAGAUUUGAAAUCAUGAAAUCCAUAAUUAUUAUGUGAACAUCUUUGAUCAUAUGACAAUGUUCCUCAAUAUUAGAAUCUCAUGCAUAGAAAUAUCUCAUACAUCAUGUAGAACCUAAAGUUAUUUGGGUGUGUAUGGGAUAAAUAGAUACAGGAAGAGACAGAUAAAGUUCCUCAGAAGGAUUACAGAUCAUAACCUCUGCAUUCUCAA